AUUGAACGCUGGCGGCAUGCUUUACACAUGCAAGUCGAGCGGCAGCGCGGCCUUCGGGCUGGCGGCGAGCGGCGAACGGGUGAGUAAUGCAUCGGAACAUGCCCAGUCGUGGGGGAUAACACUUCGAAAGAAGUGCUAAUACCGCAUACGUCCUGAGGGGGAAAGCGGGGGAUCGCAAGACCUCGCGCGAUUGGAGUGGCCGAUGUCAGAUUAGCUAGUUGGUGGGGUAAAGGCCUACCAAGGCGACGAUCGGUAGCUGGUCUGAGAGGAUGAUCAGCCACACUGGGACUGAGACACGGCCCAGACUCCUACGGGAGGCAGCAGUGGGGAAUUUUGGACAAUGGGGGCAACCCUGAUCCAGCCAUGCCGCGUGAGUGAAGAAGGCCUUCGGGUUGUAAAGCUCUUUCGGCAGGAACGAAACGGUGGGCUCUAACAUAGUCCGCUAAUGACGGUACCUGAAGAAGAAGCACCGGCUAACUACGUG
rnacentral:rRNA from 1 species